CAAGGUACAGCGACCCUUGGCCAAUGGCCACCCUCAGAACUUGUCCUGCAGCUGCCUGAGCACCUUGUCUCAGGGACAGUGCUGGGUUAUUGGCCGCCGACCAGGCGCCGUUGACCCACAGCGAUUUUAGUUUUGUGGUGAAGGAAACACGGCAUUGGAUUGGAGUUGAUAGACGUCUGGAGAGGCCAAAAGGGCAGGACAGAAGAAGACUGAGUCCAUCAUGAGAACUGAAAUCUAGUGCUUUUUGGAAAUAAGAAAUGAAAAUGUUCUGCUGAGAAGUCACCCUGGAGAGGUCAAAAGGGCAGACCAGAAGAAGACUGAGUCCAC